AUCCGCUAUGAUGGGAAUGUGUAUGAGAACUUGUUUGAGUGGGCCAAGAAAUCCCCACUGAACAAAGCAGAGGUCCAUGAAUCUUACUAUAAGCACCUGAAGCCACUGCAGUCCAAGCUCUGACCUGUCACAAGGACAAGUUUAAUCUGCUCCAGAAAGCAGCUGUAUGCAACUCCAUUUAUACCUGAUGCACAAAUCUGUGUGAAAUCUUCAUCAAAUUCAAAUAGCUAUAUAGUAAAUGAUAAAUUGACCCCUUUCCUCUUUUUAUAAAUGAAGGGAAAAAAUGAACAGAUUUCAGAGAUUAAAUGAAAAAACCAGAUGUGUUUUAAGUGCAAUUAACACUGAAAGAGAUCUGUUAAGCAUUCAGAAAAAGCUUAAGAAAUGCAGUAUGACUUGCAUUUGUAAUGCUGCUAAUCCCAGUAGGCCAUAACUUUUGAUAAUUAGCAGAGUUUAACUACUAAGUAGUUAAUUAUUUUCACAUUUUAAUUGCUAAUCAUUGGCUAUAUAAGUGUUUUUAAGCAAAAGUAUUUUUGAAGUAGGAUAGAACCCUUCAAAGCUUUCAUGCUAAAUGUUCUACCAUUCCUACUGUGGGGGCUGGCUGAACAACAGGACUGAAGAAAAGGGAUUCGAAGGAAAAAAACUAACCAGAAAACUUAAUGUGAGUGAGUUUGUGUUAGAGCUUCUGCUGCUUGUCUUCCUUUGCUGAUGGAUUGCUUCUAUCUUCUAACUAUUCAUAGUAGCAUUUUUCCAACAACUGGACUUUUUCAGCAUAGAUCUACUGCAGAACCACUGUCUCCUGUAAUUAUGAAUUAAUAUUUCAUUUGAAGGAUCCUGAAAUUGUUGCUCUAGUAGCACUACAACUCCCUUUGUCUCCAGCUUCUUGGGAAGGAAUAGGUAGCAAAGUUAUCUACAUAGGACUUUUGGCAACUGCUGGGACCUCAAUCAGUGCUAUUUGACACCCCCCACACACACUUUCCUGGAAGAGAUACUAAAGAAAAGAGGGAGAAAAAUCACAGUUCCUUCUUAAUAGAACAAAUGUAGGGAGAGCUCUCAGCUAUGGUACUGCUGUAACUGUAGGAAUGAUAUUAACUAGAUUUUCUAGGACAAUCCAGAUUUCAAAUAUUUGUCAUCUUGGCAUUAAAAUACUUGGAGGUUACAGUAUUUGGCAUUCAGAAAAUGUCACUUAGGUCACCUUACACACAGAAAUAACACCCUUUGACGCAAACCAUGUUUCGCUUCUUGGUUCAGAAAAUAUUAAUCAUUGAAACUAUGGCUAGAGGAUAAAUGAAUGUUUCUCAGAUUCCAUAUUUUAUUGAAUGUAUAGCUUUGUCUUCAUUAUAUUUCUAGGAGCUUAAUCUGAAUUGCUAAAUUGUCCUUUCAGUUGAAAUUUAUAUAAUCAUUCUAUAUUUAAAACUUAAAUGUGCCUCUUAAUUUUUUUCUUAAAAUCCGUGUAAAACAUCAUAAGUCACUUGAAAUUUUUUUUUUUUUUACCUGUUUAUGUCUGUGACAUCUGCCUCAUGAAACCAGUUGUUCUAGAAUCAGUCCUGAGAAUAUAGUAUAAUUCAUUGGAAACAAUUCCUCUCUUGGGACCUGACAUAAAGUCUAUCUCAGGAGAAGUGAUAAUAUGAGAUUUUUAGGUUACAGCAGAAAUACUGUAUAUUGACACAGCCUUACUCUUUCCACUGGGAGAACUAAUUGAUAAUUAAUAUUGAAGAUUAACUCUGUAUUAAUCUCAUUUGAGUCUCUUGAAAGUAGUUCGGAUUCUAGAAAAUAACAAAGUAAAUUUAAAUGGCUUAAUAUUGACCUUUUAAAUGUAGAAUUAUUUCAAAAUUAGUGUUUCAAUACCUUAUUCACAGAUGAAUGUAUCUGUGGCCAGGAUCUGAGGAUGUUUGAAAUGACACCCACCUGCGUAGAUCUGGGGUCUAUCUUGGCAGGUUUGAAUUGUAAACACUACAGAGCCACCUUCAAUGCAGCACCUCAAGUUUUAUUUAAAAGCUAAAUCUGACAUUUGAUACUAUUUUUAUUAACAUUGGAAUGUUUUGUCUUGAACUUUAUUCAUUGUAAUCAAAGAAUAAAAAUAAAGUAAAACCUCA